rnacentral:lncRNA from 1 species
GGGGGCUAGGAUGAAAUUUGAAAAAAAAUAGGCAGGACAGGAGUUUUGAGUAAAAAAAAAAGGCAGGAUAAGACAAUUGCCAAAAAAAGAAGUCAGGACAACAAUUUAGGUAAAAAAAAAGUCAGGAUAAACUAAAAAAAAAAAGCAGGACCAACCAGAGUGAAAAAUAAAAAUGCAGGACAGAGAUUACAGCUAAAAAAAAAUGCAGGACAAAAUUUUUCAUCCUAGCCCCC